GACGAACGCUGGCGGCGUGCUUAACACAUGCAAGUCGAACGGAAAGGCCCUGCUUUUGUGGGGUGCCCGAGUGGCGAACGGGUGCGUAACACGUGAGUAACCUGCCCUUGACUUUGGGAUAACUUCAGGAAACUGGGGCUAAUACCGGAUAGGAGCCCCCGCUGCAUGGAGGGGGUUGGAAAGUUUCGGCGGUUGGGGAUGGACUCGCGGCUUAUCAGCUUGUUGGUGGGGUAGUGGCUUACCAAGGCAUUGAAGGGUAGCCGGCCUGUGAGGGUGACCGGCCACAUUGGGACUGAGAUACGGCGCAGACUCCUACGGGAGGCAGCAGUGGGGAAUAUUGCACAAUGGGCGGAAGCCUGAUGCAGCGACGCCGCGGGCGGGAUGACGGCCUUCGGGUUGUAAACCGCUUUCGCCUGUGACGAAGCGUGAGUGACGGUAAUGGGUAAAGAAGCACCGGCUAACUACGUG
rnacentral:rRNA from 1 species